UGUAAGAGUCAACUAGAGACUGACUUCAGCUCAAACAAGUCAUCGAUGUGAAGGCUGAUAUUUUCUUCUGGAAGUUCUGCCUUCAGAGGAUGGAACUGCCAGUACAACAUAUGUAUGCAUCCUGAAAUCUCAAAAUCAGCGAAAGCUAGCGUGCCCAUUGGAUGCUGGGUGCAUGCAGUGAGAUGCUUGGCUGGUUCCUGACUUUCAGGAUAAAUACACAAUGGGAUGAAACCGACUUUCUUCCAGAAUAUACAAGUGACACUGCCAUUCAUCUUCAAAACAGAAACAUAAUUGGGUGAAGCCAGAAUGUCAAAGCAAGGGAACUGCCAGACAAAGCAAAGAAAAUGAAGAUUUCUGUCUUGGGAAUUGAACCUUCAGUGUCUUCUUGUAUAAGAUUAUGAAAGUGAGAAAUAACCACGGUCUCGAUGUGUAAGUUUCUCACAACUUGCUUAGACUGAAGGGCAGCCCCACAGCUCCCACAGUACUCAGCUGGAUGUUCUCUGGAGGGCAGCAGAAGAGCUGCGGUGGAAACACCCACCACGUUUUCAGCAUGCACUGCUUCACUAGUAACCAAAUGGUGAGAACUGACCAAUUCUCUCAUGAACCUUUUAGAGAAAAUGCUAAGUGUCCAAGGAAACCGUGGUGGACUCUGAGUGUUCUGGCUGUGGCAAGUUCCCUGCAAGGCAAAACACUUAGGAAAUCCUCCAAAAGGAGUUGUGUCUUCUGUUUAUUCACAUUUUGCUGAAUCCUAUCACAACUGUUGUGGUUUUUUUGUUUUUUUUUUGAAUGGCCCCAUUUUUGCUGCCAGGUGCCUGGUGCCCGUGUUCGGCUGGCUCGCAGCCCUGCCAGCCUGCAGCGACUGGCACCUCUGCACCUCCCCUGGUGCGGUGACCAGGCUGGUGGUGGGCACCCGGCACACGCCAGAGGCUACAGGGCUGCCUCUUCCCGCUGCCCUCCUGCCGCUGGCACACACAUGAAGCAGGCAUCGGUGUCUCCCUUACUUUUUCCCUCAUGUCAUCUUGUAGUGUUUAUCUAGCGAGCAGGAGUAACCUUAAAAAUAACCCUUGGGAAGGCAUCUAACAGCAUCUGCUUUCUGUCUUUAACCUCAGGCAGACUGUUGUCAGCAAGAGACAUAUUCUUAAUGAUUUUUUUCCCCCCCAUACCAGCUUUUUUCUAUCAGAUAGCACUGUUCUGAGACCAAGAGACACAGGAUGUAUUCCCAGCUUUGAUGUUUAUAAGCACCUCUCUUUAUCCCUUUGCAGCCCUCCCACCAUCCACCUGGCACUUCAGCCACCUCCUGUCUCGGGCAGUGAUGGUGCCUCACUGUGCACUUUGACCACUCCCCAAGUCUCAUCUGUGUCAUGCAAAAGAGAAAUAAUAAAACUAAAGGCAGAUUGCUGAUAACACCAAUCUCAAUAUUUCUUCAAAACAUCCUGCUGAAAAGUCCUAGUAUGAGGCCAGAGGGGAAGAUAGCCAAAAGCACAGGCUUUAUUUUACCCAGAAUUAAGGUGAUGUGUGUGCAAGUGCACUGCGACUGCCAGGCAGAAUUUAGCUCCAAGGAAACUUCUGAUACUUUAAAAAGUAUUUUCAAACCAAACUGGACAAAAGGUUACAUUUUGAGAACCUUGCACUAAAAAGCUCCCCUGAUUUGGAACUGCUGCUCUUUUGGUCAUGUCUGAUCAUUUUCAAGAGUGUAAAAGAGACUUCUUGCAGGGAAAGAGAACAGAUAUCUUUUUGGAAUAGGGUCAAAAAAUUGUGAUACAAAUAUCAAAUAACAUCCAUUAUUAAGUAGACUAUAUAAAUAGCAAUUACUGCUAAGUUCUCUGAAUCAAGAAAUCAUUGAAUAAUUUAGCUUAGAAGGAACCACUGGGAGGGUUAAGUAGUCCAACCUACUGCUCAGAGCAGGGCUAGCUUCAAAGAGCAAUCUGAUGGCAGAAGGCUCGUCCAGCCAAGCACUGAAUGCUUCCAACCACAGAGACCCCACAGCCUCUUUAGACAACCAUUGCAGUGCUUAAUAUUUUGUGGUGGUUGGUUGGUUGGUUGUUUUUUAAGAUCUCCUUAUACCCGGCUCUUGCUGUGACUUCUGAAGAUUUCCCCGCUCUUUCGCUACCCUCCUUUGAGGAGGGUCUGGCUCUGACAUCCCUGUAACCCCUCUUGGUGGUUGAAGACUGCAGCUGGUGGCCCUUUUUCCUUCUCAUUUCAAGGUGGAACAACCCCAGCUCCAUCAGCCCCUCCUGUACACUAUGCGCUCCAGCCCUUGAGCACAGGAUAUCGAUUCUUGAGGGUAUCAAUAUCUCUCCCCUAGUGAGGGACAGGUUUUAGGAAACUCCAUGAGUGCUGUGGCCUCCCAGGUGCCCAGCGGAGGGAAAUCAUUCCCAAUGUGCUGGUUACCCUCCUGCUAUAGCUGCCUGGGAUGAGGCUGUGGGACUUGCAUUUGCCUCUGCUGAGCUCCUUGAGGCUCCUCCAGCUCCAUCCUUGAAGCCGUCCGUGUUCCCAAAGCAGCAGCCCUGCCCUCUGAUAGAUCUCUCUGCCCUGCAAUUUGUGUCACCUACAAAGCUGCUCAGGGUGCAGUUAUUCUGGCUAUUUGAUGGAGACGCAUUAGCCCCUGUAUUGACUUCUGAGGAUGCUGCUUGUAACAGGCCACUGAUUUGAACCACUGCCCCCUUGAACCCAGCAGUCCAGUCCAGUUUUUUAUCCAUGCCUAGAGAGAAUUAAUCAUACUUAAGUAUAAUUAAAAAUCAAAGCAAAUGGAGUCAAAAUGGGAAUGCUAGUAUGUUUUCCAGUAUUGAAAUGGUGUCUGAUCCUUCUUUGAAAUUAGUAUAAGUUAUUUUGAUAUAUUUAUCUUUUCUUUCCCUGCUUUUCAUUUUAAAUUAGGAGAUUCUUUCUAAAUUAUUGCAAUUUUUAAGUAAAAUGAAGUGGGCAGUGUUUCAACUUGUUCUUAAAGUAGUAUCAAGAUAUAAGAUCUAAAAUCAAGAUAUAAGAAUAUUCUUUUUAAAAUGUAAAAGGUGACUCUCAGGAUUAUUAUUAUUUUUUUAAAGCAAAAAGCUAGAUAUUGCUGCCAGCAUAAAGCUGAAAUUAUCAAUGCCAAAGAAUAAUAGUCUAUUACUCGGUUUCCUCCUUUUAUUAGCUUGCGUGAGUAUUGUGACUGCCAUAGAGUAUCUGUUCUGCUGAGAAUGUGUUUGACAGCAGCCAGACAGGUUCCGUCUACAGAGCCGGCACCAGGCUGGUAUCUGAGCUGCUGCUGCUGCUUGAAAUUCGACAAGGCAUUUCUCCAAAGCUAGUCCAAAGGUGGUAAUAGCCAAGAUUUAUCUUGGUAAUUUUGGUCUUGGCCCAUUGGAAAUGUUUUUUAGCCUUCAGACAUGCUGCUGGUCAAAGCUUUCCAAUGGGAUGUGAGCCAUAGACUUUCUCAGUCGUCGUAGCUGAGUUAUUUUGCUACUCAGCUAUGCAGAAGCAGCAGGCCUUUAGGCUAAUUAAUAAAUCAUCAACGCAUUUGUGGUGUGAAAAAUGAAAUAUUUAUGCUUGCCAGAGUAAUAUUUCUGUCUUGCAGCCCCAUGCUCUGUUGAUGCCUGAUGGAGGAUGAAGUAAAUACCAGCUGGUGUAGAAUGAGCAGAAUAUAAUUACUUUCUACAAAGUUAACUGAAUAUUAAAAAUAGAAGUCAGAGAAGCUGGCAAAAAGAGAAAUAUAUAUAUAUAUAUACAUUGCCUGAAAGGCAGGGCAUAGCCAGUACAUGAAGGGAACACUUUCCUAACUAGUGCUGUGGGGAUAGAGAACCUGCAGGAUCCAUAUUGUGUACAAAUGUGUCACACCGAGGUCUUUUUACAGAGCAGUUAGUGACCAGCUGGAGUAGUUAAAAGGCCUGAAGGGAAGCCAAGGAUGCUCUAAUGUUCCAGUCGGUCAUCAUUAGGGGACCAGUGAAGGACUUAAAGCAUCAGAUGUUGUUGCUUUUCUAAAAUGUGUCCACUAUUAAAAAAAAAAAACAACUUCUAGGUUUUAAGGCGAGCAGGAGUUAGUUUUGCUCUUUAUGUUCUGACACAAUAGUAGAUUUAAGGGAGCUGUGCUGGGUGUGAUUUUUGCAAUCACUGCCCCAGUCCUUCACCAUGGAGUGAAUGUACGAGCAACAGGCCAAUCAAACAGCUUGAAGAAAAACAUUCUCAUGUAGCAGAGGGAGGAUUUAACCCCUUAUUUGAAGUGGAGACUCUUUACAAUAAUCAGCUAAGAGCAAUCUACACAAGAGGCUCAUUUUACAUGCUGGCAGUUACAAUCAGGGGAAUUGAAAGAGCAAGCCAUCUACAAAAGCUAUCCAGACAGGGGGAGGGGUGACAUUGUGCAGGUCAGACAUCAGCCUUCCCCCCCCCAACCCCCCCCGGCCCCGUUCAAAUUUCAGACUUUUUUUCCUGGAAAAUGUAUUCUGAUUCUUUCCCUUAGGCCUGUGUGCACAGUCUGAGGAUCUGAUGAAAGCCAAAUGACCAAAAUCCAGGAAGAGCGCUCAGUUCAUGGAUUUUUUCAUUUGCUUUCAUAGAUAUGAGAGAUUGUGUUGUUCAGGUGUUCAAGGUAAGUUGAGCAAAUGAGCUUCUGAGGCUGAGCCAAACCUCCAUGCCAGACCCUUCAGGCUGGUAGCACGUGCUAUUAUAUGUGUUCAUGUUCACUGAUUUAUGUUAGAGCCAAUAGGGAAGGACAGACUUCUAACCUGGAUCAUUGGUCUGUCUUGCAGUGGAGCAUUUAUCUUAAAAUGGAAAAGGAACAUACUAUUCCCAUCUGGUCUUGAUGUUUCUGAAGUCAGGCAAGUUUGCAUACAAACAGUGGUCAGUUCAUCAAACUGUUACUCCUACAUAACAAGCAUAACAUGGGGAGCAUUUGAUAUCACAAGAAAUAAUAAAGGUUAACUAUUUGUGUCUUUUCUGUGUUUGCUGUGGAAUAUGCUUACAGCAGUAAUGUUACUCUUUAGUAGUACAGGUGCCCUUGACAUAAUCUCAGGACUAUGUCAUCACAGAGUCAUGGAAUGGUUGGGGUGGCAGGGACCUCUGGAGGCCACCCAGGCCUACCCCUGCUCAAGCAGGGCCACCAUGUCCAGGCAGCUUUUGAAGACCUCCAAGGAGGAGACCACAACCUCUCCGGGCAGCCCAUGCCAGCGCUCCCUCACCUGCACAGCUAAGAAGCACUUCCUGAUGUACUUGUGACCAACCCUGUGCUGUGGCACAAAGCUGUCCCAAGGUACGUGCUCUCUGCCCUCCAGCACCUUGCUGGAGGCGUGGAGGACGUUGGAGCUUUUGCCACUUUCCUCCCCAUCACUGUGGAUGUGUGAGCAUCAGGGCGGUCAUGCAAGGAGGAAGAAUGGCACACAGGAAGCUGAAAGUCCCCGUCCCGGAUGGCAGCAGCAAAAAUGGUACAGACAGGACCUCUCAGUCCCCUCAUCAUCAAACUGCCUGCUGAGUAGGAUUUGAAUGAGACAGUAGUACAGGUAUGGAGAAGGAUGAAUGUACCCUUUUGCACUUGUCUGCCAAGAGAAAAUAAAAAACAUUCAAGGAAUAUGAGAAAUAUAUAUAUAUUUCA